rnacentral:lncRNA from 1 species
GUUCCUCUAGCUGUGGCAUGUGGGACGCUGCCUCAGCGUGGCUUGAUGAGCAGUGCCAUGUCCGCGCCCAGGAUUCGAACCAACGAAACACUGGGCCGCCUGCAGCGGAGCGCGCGAACGUAACCACUCGGCCACGGGGCCAGCCCCUGAAGAUGGAUUUUUAAUCAAUGGGUUGGGAAAUUUUAGGAGGCUGGCUCUUCCAUGCCUUUUCCAGAAAGUCCACAGUGUACUGAAGUGAUAGGCUCCUCAGCUUAUUAUUCAUCACUGACAAGCACACAGUUUGUAAUGGGAGAGGACUAGCCCCCACACCAGGUGACUCAAGUGCUUCAUCGUCUUAUAUCACCGUUCCAAUAUUCUCACAACAUUCUCCACUGAUUUCAUCGUGGGUAGAACACCUUUUGCCUAGGGCCUUCCCACUUAAAAUGUGUCCUCUCUUUACCAUCAAAACCACCAGCACCACCACAGUACAGACCAGGAUAUCACAGCAAAACACACGGAGAGCUGACACUUGUCUGAAGCUUUCAGAAAUCACCAGCAGAGCACCCCACACCUGCCCCAGGAUCAGCUAGAAAGUGGGUCCGAUGGCAGGCAGGGGGACCUCCAUGGUUGGGAAGGCUCUUCAGCUCUGCCUCCGAGUGCCAGUGGCCUGUGGGCCACAACUGACCACUCAGAAUCCUGAGGAGUGUUCCAUCUCGAAAGUAAACAGGUGCCCAGCAACCAGGGCUGAUCAGUUGGAUUGGGGAGGGGAAGGACGGCUAGAUUUUAGGAAACUGAACCCUAACUGAGCUCUGAAAGUAGAAACUGAUUUCACUUCUCCAGGCACUGGGGGAGGAAGAAAUGGCUGAUGGCAACCUGGAGUUCUGCCACUGUAGGCCCAACUUCCCCUGCAGCAAAUUUAGGCUAUCAAAGGCAUCCCAGGUCAUGAGGCCAUGUCCCUUUCUGUGCAAAAGAGCAAGUUGGAGCAGAGUGGUUGGCAGCAUCCCUGGGCCCAGGCCCAGAGCCUCCUACUCCAUCAUGGGGAUUCUGCCAUGAGUGGCUGGUCUCCAGUCUCUUUCGCCAAGAAGGAAGUGAGAGGACAGUCAUCUGAGUCCUCUUUGAAGGUCUUGAAGGGUGUCAGGGCUCAAGAUCCGCAUGGGACACUGAAUGGGCUUGGGGUCAGUGGCUCCUCCCAGGGGAUGUCAGAGUUCUUUCAGGGAAUUAGGAACCAAAUCUGCCACUGCUAGUGUUUGAUCAUUUUAGAAGGAUCAAAAAUAUGUUGAAGAAAUCAUAAUGUUCUCCCAAAGAACAAGCCAGACCUAAAAACAGUGAAAUCGAAUUAAAACUAUUGGCCUAUAAUAAGGUCCUGGAUAUGUCAUUGAGUCAAAAGGCAAGAUGUAAAGUAACAUGUAUACAGAGGAUUCCAGAAACAAUUCUGGAAGGAUAGCCC